rnacentral:rRNA from 3 species
AAAUUUCAUCGUGAUGGGGAUAGAUNAUUGCAAUUGUUGGUCUUCAACGAGGAAUGCCUAGUAAGCGCGAGUCAUCAGCUCGCGUUGACUACGUCCCUGCCCUUUGUACACACCGCCCGUCGCUCCUACCGAUUGAAUGGUCCGGUGAAGUGUUCGGAUCGCGGCGACGGGGGCGGUUCGCCGCCCCCGACGUCGCGAGAAGUCCAUUGAACCUUAUCAUUUAGAGGAAGGAGAAGUCGUAACAAGGUUUCCGUAGGUGAACCUGCGGAAGGAUCAUUG